AUAAUCAUACCAACACUAAUGCACUGGAUUCCAUCAGAACUCCGCAGUUAAGCGUGCUUAGGUAAAAGUAGUACUAGGAUGGGUGACCCCCUAGGAAGGCCUCGUGUUAUACUCC